ensembl:lncRNA
GGCAGGCCCACCAGGUGGCGCUCGCUCCCACCCGGCCGCCGCGCCGACGGCCCGUGACGUCAGCCGCCCGGCUCCAUUUGAGCGCCUCUCGGCAGCCGAGAACUCGGACUUCCCGUGUGGCUCACAACAUAACUACUCGGCGUUGCUUCUACAGUGGCUGUGGCUCGACCCCUAGCCUGGGAACCUCCAUAUGCCGCAGCCCCGCGGCGGCAGAUGGCACUCGUUCUGCCGCUUUUUCCUGGCUGUGUGCGAUGCCAUCGCAUGGAUGUCCCCGGGCCUUCGAAGUGCACUCACCUGUCAGUGGACCUUUAGGUGGCUUCCAGAUCUUGGCUCUGGUGAGUAGUGGCGGCGACAGACAGAGGGGUGCCCGGGUCUGCUUCCGGGAAAGUUUGGUCCCGGUGAAAUGGAGCUGUUUGGAGGCCGGCUUCGUCUUUGUGUGGGCCG